GACGAACGCUGGCGGCGUGCCUAAUACAUGCAAGUCGAACGCUUCUUUCCUCCCGAGUGCUUGCACUCAAUUGGAAAGAGGAGUGGCGGACGGGUGAGUAACACGUGGGUAACCUACCCAUCAGAGGGGGAUAACACUUGGAAACAGGUGCUAAUACCGCAUAACAGUUUAUGCCGCAUGGCAUAAGAGUGAAAGGUGCUUUCGGGUGUCGCUGAUGGAUGGACCCGCGGUGCAUUAGCUAGUUGGUGAGGUAACGGCUCACCAAGGCCACGAUGCAUAGCCGACCUGAGAGGGUGAUCGGCCACACUGGGACUGAGACACGGCCCAGACUCCUACGGGAGGCAGCAGUAGGGAAUCUUCGGCAAUGGACGAAAGUCUGACCGAGCAACGCCGCGUGAGUGAAGAAGGUUUUCGGAUCGUAAAACUCUGUUGUUAGAGAAGAACAAGGACGUUAGUAACUGAACGUCCCCUGACGGUAUCUAACCAGAAAGCCACGGCUAACUACGUGCCAGCAGCCGCGGUAAUACGUAGGUGGCAAGCGUUGUCCGGAUUUAUUGGGCGUAAAGCGAGCGCAGGCGGUUUCUUAAGUCUGAUGUGAAAGCCCCCGGCUCAACCGGGGAGGGUCAUUGGAAACUGGGAGACUUGAGUGCAGAAGAGGAGAGUGGAAUUCCAUGUGUAGCGGUGAAAUGCGUAGAUAUAUGGAGGAACACCAGUGGCGAAGGCGGCUCUCUGGUCUGUAACUGACGCUGAGGCUCGAAAGCGUGGGGAGCAAACAGG
rnacentral:rRNA from 1 species